UCAAGGGUAUGUUACGGGCCUGUCCCCGCGGGCCUGUCAUAGUGUCCCAUGUCAGAGCAAACUGUAGCCCCGAACCAUUGCCUGGCCUCCUUGCCCAUAGGCUGCAGGCACUGAAGUGGGUUGCACAGUG